rnacentral:rRNA from 1 species
GAUGAACGCUGGCGGCGUGCCUAAUACAUGCAAGUCGAGCGAACGGACGAGAAGCUUGCUUCUCUGAUGUUAGCGGCGGACGGGUGAGUAACACGUGGAUAACCUACCUAUAAGACUGGGAUAACUUCGGGAAACCGUAGCUAAUACCGGAUAAUAUUUUGAACCGCAUGGUUCAAAAGUGAAAGACGGUCUUGCUGUCACUUAUAGAUGGAUCCGCGCUGCAUUAGCUAGUUGGUAAGGUAACGGCUUACCAAGGCAACGAUGCAUAGCCGACCUGAGAGGGUGAUCGGCCACACUGGAACUGAGACACGGUCCAGACUCCUACGGGAGGCAGCAGUAGGGAAUCUUCCGCAAUGGGCGAAAGCCUGACGGAGCAACGCCGCGUGAGUGAUGAAGGUCUUCUGAUCGUAAAACUCUGUUAUUAGGGAAGAACAUAUGUGUAAGUAACUGUGCACAUCUUGACGGUUCCUAAUCAGAAAGCCACGGCUAACUACGUG